UGAGGCCAUUGCUAUCGGAGUCCGAUUUAGCCUGCUAGUUGUGCGGGUUUAGACCCGCAGCGGAAAGCUCAGUAACACGUGGCCAAGCUACCCUGUGGACGGGAAUACUCUCGGGAAACUGAGGCUAAUCCCCGAUAACGCUUUGCUCCUGGAAGGGGCAAAGCCGGAAACGCUCCGGCGCCACAGGAUGCGGCUGCGGUCGAUUAGGUAGACGGUGGGGUAACGGCCCACCGUGCCCAUAAUCGGUACGGGUUGUGAGAGCAAGAGCCCGGAGACGGAAUCUGAGACAAGAUUCCGGGCCCUACGGGGCGCAGCAGGCGCGAAACCUUUACACUGUACGAAAGUGCGAUAAGGGGACUCCGAGUGUGAAGGCAUAGAGCCUUCACUUUUGUACACCGUAAGGUGGUGCACGAAUAAGGACUGGGCAAGACCGGUGCCAGCCGCCGCGGUAAUACCGGCAGUCCGAGUGAUGGCCGAUCUUAUUGGGCCUAAAGCGUCCGUAGCUGGCUGAACAAGUCCGUUGGGAAAUCUGUCCGCUUAACGGGCAGGCGUCCAGCGGAAACUGUUCAGCUUGGGACCGGAAGACCUGAGGGGUACGUCUGGGGUAGGAGUGAAAUCCUGUAAUCCUGGACGGACCGCCGGUGGCGAAAGCGCCUCAGGAGAACGGAUCCGACAGUGAGGGACGAAAGCUAGGGUCUCGAACCGGAUUAGAUACCCGGGUAGUCCUAGCUGUAAACGAUGUCCGCUAGGUGUGGCGCAGGCUACGAGCCUGCGCUGUGCCGUAGGGAAGCCGAGAAGCGGACCGCCUGGGAAGUACGUCUGCAAGGAUGAAACUUAAAGGAAUGGCGGGGGAGCACUACACCGGGGACCCUGCGGUUUAAUUGGC
rnacentral:rRNA from 1 species